rnacentral:rRNA from 1 species
GUGGGGAAUAUUGGACAAUGGGCGAAAGCCUGAUCCAGCCAUGCCGCGUGUGUGAAGAAGGUCUUCGGAUUGUAAAGCACUUUAAGUUGGGAGGAAGGGCAGUAAGUUAAUACCUUGCUGUUUUGACGUUACCGACAGAAUAAGCACCGGCUAACUUCGUGCCAGCAGCCGCGGUAAUACGAAGGGUGCAAGCGUUAAUCGGAAUUACUGGGCGUAAAGCGCGCGUAGGUGGUUCAGCAAGUUGAAGGUGAAAUCCCCGGGCUCAACCUGGGAACUGCCUCCAAAACUACUGAGCUAGAGUACGGUAGAGGGUAGUGGAAUUUCCUGUGUAGCGGUGAAAUGCGUAGAUAUAGGAAGGAACACCAGUGGCGAAGGCGACUACCUGGACUGAUACUGACACUGAGGUGCGAAAGCGUGGGGAGCAAACAGGAUUAGAAACCCUAGUAGUCC